GAAGAAAAGUAACUAAACAUGGGCAAAAGAGACCCUAAGCAGCCAAGAGGCAAAAUGUCAUCAUAUGCAUUUUUUGUGCAAACUGCUCAGGAGGAGCACAAGAAGAAACAACUAGAUGCUUCAGUCAGUUUCUCAGAGUUUUCUAAGAACUGCUCAGAGAGGUGGAAGACCAUGUCUGUUAAAGAGAAAGGAAAAUUUGAAGACAUGGCAAAGGCAGACAAGGCCUGUUAUGAAAGAGAAAUGAAAAUAUAUCCCUACUUAAAGGGGAGACAAAAAAGAAGUUCAAGGAUCUCAAUGCACCUAAGAUGCCUCCUUCGGCCUUUUUUCUGUUCUGUUCUGAGUAUCACCCAAAAACCAAAGGAGAACAUCCUGUCCAGUCCACUAGUGAUAUUGUAAAGAAACUGGGAGGAAUGUGGAAUAACACUGCUGCAGAUGAAAAGCAGCCUCAUGAAAAGAAGGCUGUGAAGCUGAAGGAAAAAUACAAAAAGGAUAUUGCUGCAUAUCAAGCUAAAGGAAAGCCUGAUGCAGCAAAAAAAAGGG
rnacentral:lncRNA from 1 species